rnacentral:rRNA from 1 species
CAAUAGCGUAUAUUGAAGUUGUUGCAGUUAAAAAGCUCGUAGUUGGAUUUCUGGGAGGGUGCCGCCGUCCGGCGUGUCCGUGUGCAGUGGCGCCCUUCCAUCCUUCUGUUAGCGUCUCUUGGCAUUCAUUUGCUGGUGGCGGGCUCAGAUAUUUUACCUUGAGAAAAUUAGAGUGUUUCAGGCAGGCUAGGCCGGAAUACAUUAGCAUGGAAUAAUGGAAUAGGACUACGGUCUCUUUGUUGGUUUGAGGGACUGCAGUAAUGAUUAAUAGGGAUAGUUGGGGGCAUUAGUAUUUAAUUGUCAGAGGUGGAAUUCUCAGAUUUGUUAAAGACUAACUUAUGCGAAAGCAUUUGCCAAGGAUGUUUUCAUUAA